rnacentral:rRNA from 1 species
ACGCUGAUCGCAUGGUCUCGAACCGGCGACGUAUCCUUCAAGUGUCUGCCUUAUCAACUGUCGAUGGUAGUUUAUAUGACUACCAUGGUUGUAACGGGUAACGGAGAAUCAGGGUUCGACUCCGGAGAGGGAGCCUGAGAAACGGCUACCACAUCCAAGGAAGGCAGCAGGCGCGCAAAUUACCCACUCUCAGAUCGAGGAGGUAGUGACGAAAAAUAACGAGACAGUUCUCUAUGAGGUCUGUCAUCGGAAUGGGUACAAUUUAAACCCUUUAACGAGGAUCUAUUGGAGGGCAAGUCUGGUGCCAGCAGCCGCGGUAAUUCCAGCUCCAAUAGCGUAUACUUAAGUUGUUGCGGUUGAAACGCUCGUAGUUGAAUCUGCGUUUGUAGACACUGGU